AGUACAAAAUCGGUUAAGAACUAACGAUGAACUACCACUUGAACAACGGGUAGCUUACGAUGCGGAUGUUCUACAACGGAAGAAUCGGAAACGAUGCAACAGCGAUCUCAACCCUACAAGUCAACUGAAAAAGUUUCGGAGAGGUAGGAAUAGAUUCAUAAUUUUAUCUUUUUCCAUUUCUUCUGUGAAGAAUAAAUAAGAAUAUUUCAACGCUCUAUUUGCUAGCACAUUUUACAAGACCGCGAUUUCGUCAAUUUAUAUUUGUAUAUGCUUCAAAUAGAUCUUGUUAGAGGUCGUUGUUUGUUCCUUCUUUACUUUUAAGCGGGAGAUUUUCCAGCGCGGGAAAAUAUUUAUUAUGAUUCAUUCAUUCAUUGUAUUUACAUUGAAUAACAAGAAGUUUUAAAAACUUGUGAGAUUUAUUUAAUGUCGCUAUGAUAUACCCGCUAAUAAUAAAUAUUAAAAUAUAUGAAUAUUCAGUUUUCCCUCCUGUGGGGAAAGGGUUGUAUAUUUACAUGUGACCACAGAGAUUUUCAUCCGAUGCUGGCAUUAAAUUUAUUUUGAAGCUUAAUGCAUCCUGUCAUCUUCUGUACCAUGGAUAAUGGUAUGCAAUGGAAAGCAUGGAUGCUAAUAUUUUUUCAUAAACUAAUGACACUUAGUAAGUUUGGUCUUUUUUUGAUGAGGCGGUGGUAAGGACAAUGUACACGGUGGUACAGGAAGUACAAAGGACUGUGGAUCAAGUACUGGACCUUACGAAUCAGAUGUAUUACAUAUAAAUACUGUUGAUAAUAAUAUAGAAGAAUCUAUGAUUACAAAAGAAAACUGCUGCUGGACAGCAGGUUUUAUGUGUGAUAUGGCUUAAACGAGGGUAGUAAUAAGUAAGAAGUACAAGACAAAAAGUGCAGAGACAGAUCGUGAUGUUUAUUACUUUAUGUAAUGAUACAUUAGGUUUACACAAAGAUAGGAGAUGGAUGUGCACGAUCUCUACUGAAUAUAAAACACCUAAAUUCAUUAAAAAAAUAUUUUCUUUUUUCAAUGAUAUUCAAUAGAAAAAGAAACAUCAAUUAUUUCACGUUGAGAAAAGAUCUGUAAAAUUGAAUUACUUAAAUCAUAAAACAAAUUAUAUUUCGAAAUUUUAUCAAAUACACUUUUCUAUUAUAUGAUUACAUGAUUGAAAAUCUUAAAUUGUGUAUGAUUCUGUUGUAUCAAUAAAAGUGAUACUUCCACUGCACGAGGACAAAUGAGA